rnacentral:rRNA from 1 species
GACGAACGCUGGCGGCGUGCUUAACACAUGCAAGUCGAACGGAAAGGCCCUGCUUUUGUGGGGUGCUCGAGUGGCGAACGGGUGAGUAACACGUGAGUAACCUGCCCUUGACUUUGGGAUAACUUCAGGAAACUGGGGCUAAUACCGGAUAGGAGCUCCUGCUGCAUGGUGGGGGUUGGAAAGUUUCGGCGGUUGGGGAUGGACUCGCGGCUUAUCAGCUUGUUGGUGGGGUAGUGGCUUACCAAGGCUUUGACGGGUAGCCGGCCUGAGAGGGUGACCGGCGACAUUGGGACUGAGGUACGGCCCAGACUCCUACGGGAGGCAGCAGUCGGGAAUAUUGCACAAUGGGCGGAAGCCUGAUGCAGCAACGCCGCGUGCGGGAUGACGGCCUUCGGGUUGUAAACCGCUUUCGCCUGUGACGAAGCGUGAGUGACGGUAAUGGGUAAAGAAGCACCGGCUAACUACGUG